rnacentral:misc_RNA from 1 species
CCCCUUUCUCAAGUUUGUUACUAGCUUACUUCCGUCUUGGAAAAAAAAAAUUGAAAAAGUUAGAACCAUAGACUUCUAACAAAAUCAGAUUUUUAAUCAGCGCCCGUAUCCUCUGCAGAUUUCUUAUACUCUGGCUUCAGCUCAUAAGUUCCUUGAUUUGUUCCUCGCUUGUUGUACACACACAGCUCAUUCAGUAUCUCCUUCAAGAAUUGCGCAGGUUGAUCAGUUUCUUGUACAAGUUGCUUCAAGGCCCAAUUUGGUUGUCUUUCAAACAGCUUGAACAUGAUAUCCUCCAAUUCCCCACGAUCCCUCCUGGUUCUCUUCAUGUCUGACUGUUUAACUGGUGCCGUUUUCUUCUUAUCCUUUGAGUUAGAUGACAUCAAGCCAAUCAUUCCAGGCAUGGGCCUCAUGUGCACUCCUCGGUCAUUAUCAAUCACCUGUAUUUGCCUAUUCUUGAUCAUGGACUUAUUUGUUCUUUCACGGCAUAAUCUUCCAUACUCCUCAAUGUUUUCCUCAUGGGGCUUCAUGUCAAAUUUAUGUUCCACUUUCCCUUCCAUGGCAACUCUUCCUUGACUUGUCUCAGAAAAGACACCCAUAGGAACAAAAUCUUUAAACAUGUUCAGAGAAUAACUCUUAGGUACAUUGCCAGUCUCACUGCCAGCCAUCUCCAUAGUGAACUGUAAACCAGAGGAAUCCUCGCCACGGAGAGGAUCGAGGGAAAGAACGACCUUGGCGAGAGGAUGAGAAUCUGAGGAAGAGGAAUGACUCUGCCAAGACUUCGCUACGACUAACGGGCACUUCAUCAACCACACCGAUCUAUCAGCCUUUGCCGUUUCCAAGACACCGCUACUACUCCCACUACUACCGUGAUCUUCAUCCAUUUCUUUACUUUCUUUUUGCCGUUUGUUUCUCGAGAAACUUUCCCUCUCCUUUGUGGCUUCCAGUUUUUCCUCCACCUACUCUAGUCUCGUCUCGUCUGGUCACG